UAUUCAGAUCCCCCGCCAAACCAAACACCACGUCUCGCGCUUCCAUUUUCCGCUGGUUCAACAGUUGAAAAUUUUCGUUUCUCCUAGAAGCCCACCGCUCACAGUAAGACCUUCACACACAGAGAGAGCAAGUCAAGAUUCACCUCUUCCCGAAUGAAAUCUCUAAAUUCUUAAUCUAAUUUGUAAAUAAAUUUAAUUCAUUCUUUCUCUGGGUCAACUUCCAAUGGCUGAUGAUACCGGCUCUUCACCUCUCAUACCUCCCUCUCCUCUCAACGAACCCACAGAGAUCGACCUCGAGUCCGGCCCCAGUGAGAAAAUUCAGUGCCGAAUUUGCCUUGAAACCGACGGUAGGGAUUUUAUUGCACCAUGCAAAUGCAAAGGAUCAUCAAAGUAUGUCCAUCGGGAAUGUUUGGACCAUUGGCGAGCUGUGAGGGAAGGAUCUGCAUUUUCUCAUUGCACAACCUGCAAGGCCCCUUACUAUUUAAGAGUUCAUGUUGCUGCCGAUAGGAAAUGGCGAACUCUGAAAUUUCGGUUCUUUGUGACUAGAGACAUAGCAUUUAUAUUUCUGGCCGUUCAACUUGUUAUUGCUUCACUUGGAUAUUUGGUGUAUUUAAUUGAUAGUUAUCAGCAUUCUCGGCUUUGACAUGCAUGGGGCUUUGAUAAUGAGCUUAGUUUCUAUUACAUAUGUGGAGCGCUGCUAUUUUUUGCUUUGCUGGGGCUAUCUGGGUGCUUCAUUACUUGCUAUGAUCGAAGAGUUCGCAGUGAUUUGGCUCAGCCUUGUCGAGAAUUAUGUCUUUGUUGCUGUCAGCCUGGAAUGUGUGCGGACUGCCAUCUACCUGGCACUCUUUGCAUGUGGACUGACUGUACCACUUGCUUUGAAAGCUGUGCAAGUGCGGCUGGUGAAUGUGGUUGCUUGGGAGGUGCUGGUGAAGCAGGGCUACCAUUUUUAUUUAUAAUGGCUGUGAUUAUGCUUGUACUCUUUACAGUGAUUGGCAUAUUCUAUAGUGUUCUAGUAGCUACUAUGGUUGGACAGCGAAUUUGGCAACGGCACUAUCACAUACUUGCAAAAAGGAUGCUAACAAAAGAAUAUGUCGUUGAGGAUGUUGAUGGUGAGACUAUGGGAUCUGAUUGGUCUCCCCCACCUCUCCCACCUGAACAUGUUCAGCAGCUGAAAAUUCUGGGUCUCCUAUGAGUAAAGGAGGCGAUAUCAUAACACGCUGUAGAGAUGGAAUGGUGCUCUAUUUUGGUAGGUCAUUCUAUACUCGGAGCCUUUGAACUUUUAGUACGAAAUGCUUUGUGCAGUUACUUGGUAAGAAAAUAUCAAAGGCUCUUUGAUGUUGUUUCAAAAUACAUUUACAAAUCUGUAAAGGAUAAUAAUUUGUGAAAAUGCUCCUGGUAUUGUUACAAUACUUUGAUGAGUAAAGAAAACUGAAACAAGGUGUACUCAAGAUAACUAAGAAAAGAUGUUCCAUCAUCUCUUCCAUGUUUGUAAUCUAUCAUAAGUUGUACUA